AGGCUGCAACUCNCCUACAUGAAGUCGGAAUUGCUAGUAAUCGCGGAUCAGCAUGCCGCGGUGAAUACGUUCCCGGGCCUUGUACACACCGCCCGUCACACCAUGGGAGUCGGUAACACCCGAAGCCUGUAGUCUAACCGCAAGGAGGACGCAGUCGAAGGUGGGAUUGAUGACUGGGGUGAAGUCGUAACAAGGUAUC
rnacentral:rRNA from 1 species